rnacentral:lncRNA from 1 species
CUUUGAACCAAACCAAAUCAAAACACGGCCCUAAUGGCAUGAGUCUCAUGUGAAAUGUUUUGCAGGUUGUUUUCUGCAGACCCACAGUGAGUGUGCAAGAGGCGGGCUCUCAGGGUCGACCUCAGGCCUCGUGUGCCAAGCAGGAGAAGAGGUGUAGCUGGCGCGAGCCUCAAGAAAAACGGAUCUAAGAAGGUGGGAGAUUUUCCUGCUGAGACGGAAGAUCUGGCUUCACUUUGGGUUGACUGAGUGCUUGUUUUUUUACCGUUUCUUCAAGUAAAGUCAAACAUCCACUCCAAGCAGGCUGCAAACUCCCCAGGACACUGAGGCAGCAGGCAGAGGAGGCAGGGCUUGAGGGAGUUCAAGACUUAGUAUGCCCCAAGGUGCCCGGCACACAGUAGGCGGUCCAUGAUCCACGCCGUGACAGAGAGCACGUGGGGUAUGUUCUACUCUUUGCUGUGAGGUCUACCAUGUCAUCCUCAUGCCUUUGUUCGCAUAGCUUCCUUUGCUUGCAACACUCUUCUUCCUCUUCUCUGUCUAGAAACUCCAUCUUAUCCUUCAAAGCUCUGCUCGAAUAUGACUUUUCUGUGAUGGCUCUUCACUCAGGCUAUAUUAGUUACUCCUUCCUAGAGGUCCCCCAUAGCCCAGAAUUCUAUUGUGAGUUGUGGUUGUCUGUUUCUUUGUAUUUCUCUCUCUGUCCCAGCUCUCAGGAGGACAUCGGGUUCUUGAGGGCAGAAACUACAUUUUUCAUCCUGAUAUCUCAGACUUUGGCACAUAACGGAUAAUAAAUUCUUCAUGAAUGAAUAAAAGAAUGAAUGCUAGUCAAAAUAGUUGAAUAUGCUUUUGAAGUCUUGACUUGUGCAGAGGGCAGAAGUUGAUAUGGUACAGUUUGAGGAGGUCUUCUCUCCUCAAUGAUGGUCCUUCAGUAGGGGACAAUGACCUUCAUUUUGCUAUUCCAAAGAAGACUUAAUAUAUAAUUACCCUUGGGAGAGGUCACAAACCAACUGUCACUCACCUUGAAUAGUCCUAUAAUGAAUACUAGAAUUUUUCUGUAUGUAGACUUUGGUGAAUGAUGGUGAGGAAAUCGAGGUGGAGCAUUAGAGUUCUGAAUGCUUGAUGAGUUGGGUAAGACAUCAUAGAAAAGGAUGCUGGAGAUUUCAAGAUGGUCUCAUUCAGCCGUGCUAGGGACACUUCUGUGGCACUUUAAGAUCACUGGGGGAGAGAUCUUAGUACCCCUUGUAGGUAGGUGUUGACUUGUCUUGGUUAUACCAACUCUGCUACCUUCUAUAUACACAGUCUCAUACAAAGUAUUGAACCUCCCCAAGUCUCAGUCACCUCAUAUCUAAAUGGGGUUUAGAAUGUACAACUCAGAAAUCAGUUGGAGGGACUAAAUGAGAUCAUGUACAUGAGAAAUGGAACAGACUAGUAUGUUAUUUUGUAUUUUUUUCCAGUAAAAAAUAUUUUUCUAGUAGCGUGCCUAGCGUAUAAUGAGCAUAUUUUUUGAAUGUCGCAUAUUGCACGUAUGUAGUGCACAACUAGUGGCCAUGGUUAGAAUUUCUGGAAGCCGGUUUCAUGAUUAAACCAGGAAAAGGGUUUGCAAGCAGAAUGCCUGAGCCACCUUUUCUUUCUCCCGGUCUUGAGGCUGCUGGCCUUCAGACUGGAAAAACGCUAUCAGCUCUCCUGGUUCUCAGGCCUUUGGACUCAAACUGAGACCAAACCACCAGCUCUCCCAGGUCUCCAACUCGCCAACUCACCCUGCGGAUGUUGGGAAUAAUCAACCUCCCAAAUCAGAUUAUAAGGCUCUGGGGCUCAGAAACGCACUCUCUCACCGUUCUGGAGGCUGGAAGUCCACAAUCAAGAUGUCAGCAGGGCCAGGUCCUUCCAGCCCGCAUCCCUCCGGCUCCAGGGGAGAACCCUGCCUUGCCUCCUCCAGUUCCUGGCGGCUCCAGGUGUUCCUGGGCUUGUGGCUGCAUCCCUGAAAUCUCUGCCUCUGUCUCCACAGGGCUCCCCCUCUUCUCUCUGUGUGUCUCUUGUAAGGACAUUUGUCAUUGGAUUUAGGGCUCUGGAGAUGGCAGCUCCACUGUUGAAAUCCUGCUUUGUCACUUGGUUGCCCUGUGAUCUUGGGCAAGUGGCAUUAUCACUCUGAACCUCUAUAAACUGAGAUCAAAUCAUAUCUACCUUAUUGAUGGUGAAAAUUAAAUAAUACAUGUGAA